rnacentral:rRNA from 1 species
UACGAGGGGUGCUAGCGUUGCUCGGAAUUAUUGGGCGUAAAGGGUAGGUAGGUGGUCUGAUUUGUCUGGGUGAAAGCCUUGAGCUCAACUCAAGAAGUGCCCAGAACGGUCAGACUAGAGUACUGGAGAGGGUCGUGGAAUUCCGGUGUAGCGGUGAAAUGACGUAGAGAGUCGGGAGGAACACCAGAGGCGGAAGGCGGCGACCAGGACAGUAACUGACACAUCAACUACGGAAAGCGAUGGGAGCA